rnacentral:rRNA from 1 species
UACGAAGGGGGCUAGCGUUGCUCGGAAUCACUGGGCGUAAAGCGCACGUAGGCGGAUCUUUAAGUCAGGGGUGAAAUCCUGGAGCUCAACUCCAGAACUGCCUUUGAUACUGAGGAUCUUGAGUCCGGGAGAGGUGAGUGGAACUCCGAGUGUAGAGGUGAAAUUCGUAGAUAUUCGGAAGAACACCAGUGGCGAAGGCGGCCCACUGGCCCGGUACUGACGCUGAGGUGCGAAAGCGUGGGGAGCAAACAGG